rnacentral:lncRNA from 1 species
GGAAACAUGAUACCCUAAUUCAGGCUCAUGCCCGAGAACUGACCCACUUACGACAGAAGAUACGAGAAGGGAAAGGUGUCUGUUAUCUUUUCAUUCAGCAUACGAAGAGCAUAGUGAAGUCUUUUGAGGGCCUCCUCAGGAGUGCUGACAUUCCCUACUACCAGGGACAGAGAUUCUGUGAGCAGCUGGCCCAAGGAAGCCAGCUGGCAGAGAGCCUUGCCAGCAAACUCAUCACUGGUAAGUUGGCUUACGGGUUCUGGAGACCCUUAGCUCCUCCCAAGGUCCUAGCCUCACAUAAGUCUCCAUGCUUCCACAUGACUCUAAGAGUGACAUUUUAGCCAGUUGUCCAGCUGUUUUGUGCCCUUCUCAGCCUAUUGAUAGUGAUGCUAUUAGGUAGAACUACCUAGGGGCACUCACCUGGGCCCAAGGUGAGCCCCCAUAGACAUUUCUUUCUUUUAAGGAUAAUUGAUUUACACUGAAUUGGCCCACUGUAGUGUCAGUUCUGUGAGCUUUGAGAAAUCCAUACAGUGCUGUAAGCACUGCCACGAUCAAGAUGUAGAGCAGUCCCAUCACCACUCACAGUUCCUUUGUGCCUCUGUGUAGUCAGCCAUUGUGCCCAACCCCAGUUACUGGCAAUCACUGGAUCUGUUUUCUGUCCCUACAGAUUUUCCAUCUCCAGAAUGUAUCAGUAGUUGGUUUCCUUUUUUACUGUUAAGUACUGUGCCGUUAUACAGACGUACCACUUUUAUUUAUCCAUUCAUCCACUGAAGAACAUUUGGAUUAUUUCCAGUCUGGGGCUAUUAUGAAUAAUAGCUCUAAAGAUUCACCUGCAGAUUUUGGUGUGAAAAUAUGUGGGGUUUUUUAAAUGUUUGUUUCUUUAUUUUGAGAGAGAAUGAGUGGGGGAGAGGGGCAGAGGGAGAGGUAGGGACAGAGAGAGAGAGAGAGAGAGAAUCCCAAGCACUGAGUGUGGAGCCUCACUUGGGGCUCGAUUCCACGACUGUGAGAUCAUAACCUGAGCAGAAACCAAGAGUUGGACGCUUAACCAACUGAGCCACCCAGGAGCCCCUGAAAAUAUGUUUUCACUCACUUCACUUGGGUAAAUAGGAGUAGGAUUGCUGGGUCAUGUGGUAAAUGCACGUUUAACCUAGAAGAAACUGCUACACUGGUUUCCAAUGUGGCUAUACCAUUUCAGAUCCCAUUGGCAAUGUGUAAAAGUUACAGCUGUUCCCCAGUAUUAACUUUUGAUAUUUUCAGGUUGUUGUUCUUUUGCUUUUUGUCUUUUUAGCAAUUGUAAUAAGUGUGGGGAGGGCAUAGCAUUGUGGUUUAAAACAGAUUUUUCUUUUAACGUUUAUUCAUUUUUCUUGAGAGACAGCACAAGUGGGAGUGGGGCAGAGAGAGAGGGAGACACAGAAUCUGAAGCAGGCUCCAGGCUCUGAGUUGUCAGCACAGAGCCUGAUGCGGGGCUCGAACUCAUGAACCGUGAGAUCAUGAUCUGAGCCAAUGUCAGAUACUUAACCGACGGAGCCACCCAGGCACCCAUGCAUUGUGGUUUUAAUAUGCAUUUCCCUGAUGACUAAUAAUUUUGAGGUUCUUUUCAUAUGCCUGUUGACUCUCCUUGUAUCUUUGGUGAACCAAGUGUUCAUAUUUUGUCAUUUAAAAUUGAUUUGUUUGUUUUAUUAUUAUCAAGUCUUGAGGGUUCUUUGCAUUUCUGGAUACAAGUACUUUAUGAGAUGUUUAACUUGCAAAUAUUUUCUCCCAGUUUGUGGCUUAUCUUUUCAUUCUCCUAACGUAUCUUUCAGAAAGCAGAAUUUCUUAAUUUUAUGAAGUACAACUUAUGGAUCAUGCUUUUGAAGUUAUAUCUAAGAACACUCUACCUAAAAAUAAGGUUCUUUGCUUUUCCAUAUAAAUUUUACAAUCAGCUUGCCAUUAUCUGUAAACAACAACAAACUCCUUCUGGGAUUUUGAGUCACAUUGCUUUCAAUCUAUGAAAAGUUUGAGAAGAAUUGAUAUUCUUAUUAAUAUUGAGUUUUCUAAUGAUCAUAGUACCUUAUCAGGUUGAGGAAGUUCCCUUUCUGUUUUUGUUUCUUUUAUUCAUAUUUGAAUGAACAAACGAAUCUUUUGUUUUUUAUUUUAUGAUAGUAACUGCUGACAACAGAGGAAAAAAAUUAUGUCUCCUAAUGCAAACAUGAGUAGGCAUGGUCCAGCCAAGAAAUGUUUCCAACUUAUUUGAGGAAGUUCCUUUUUAUUCCUUAUUUUCUGAGUAGAUGUUUAAUUCUGUCAAAUGAUUUUUAUUCAUUAGUGAAAUGAUAAUGUUUUUAUUAUGUUGAGUACUUUUAUAGGGUCCUCUGGAUGUUUUGAAUAUUGUAUUGUAAGACCCUGGGUCCUGUUAAAAUCUUCUGGAAUUGUUUUUUUAGCAGGCAAUCAACCCCAUUAGGUUCAGACCAAAUUCUGCCUCACCUUCUACAGGUAGUAUCCAAUGUCAAAUCAGUGUUCAUUGCCUUCGAUAUGCUGUUUCGGUCAGUCUAGCAAAUACAUUCCUUAGGUUUCUUCUGGACUAGUUGCUGGUUUGUGUGGUAAUUCAGUUUUCUCAUCCUUUGCCAUGAUUCCUUGGGUCUAUUCCACACAUAUUCUGGGGAUGAGCCCUGGGACUUUUAUCAGCUCAUAGACAGUUUUCCAGACUCUCUUCUCUCUGGUAUUUCUUCCAUACUUUCCAGUUUCCCAGGGUCCCUUUUCCCAGUUCCUCUGUUCAGAAAGAGUGAGUUCUCUCAGAGAUUUCUCUUCUCACACUGUUUUGCUUUUCUUUCUUUCUUUUCUUUCUUUUUUUUUUUUUUUUAAGUUUAUUUAUUCUGAGAGAGAGUGCACAAGGGCCGGGGAGGGGCAGAGAGAGAGAGAAAGAGAGAGAGAGAAUCCCAAGCAGGCUCUGCACUGUCAGCAUGGAGCCUGACUCUGGGGGACAGGGGUAGGGAGGGUGGGAGGGUGGUCUGGAACCCACAAACCAUGAGAUCAUGCCCUGAGCCAAAGUCAAGAGUCAGAGAGAUGCUUUAACUGAGCCACCCAGGUGCCCCCUCACUGUAUUGCAGUUCUGAAUGACUGGGGCUACUUUAAGAGCAAGGAGGCAAGAAAAUUGAGAAAUAGAAAAUAAAAGGGGGCACUUUUCACACUUUUCAGGCAAGAGAUCCCGUUUUCCUAGUUCUUUUGAUCAGAGAGCUAGAUUCUCUUUUGUGAUUUAAGGUUUAGGCAGUUCUGCAACUGGGCUGGUCUCUAAGCCGGGUCAGGAAAGAAGAAAAAGAAAAAAAGAGAAGUUUCUCUUCAUGUUCUCCACUCACUGACAUGCACAGGUGCCUUUGUCCAGUCAUUGGGUUGGAAGGGUUAGGUGGUUUCUCCAGAAGUUUUUGCUCCUUAGAGACUGCAGUGAGUUCUUUAUGAAAGCCUAAUAGGACACACAACCGCAGUUUAGCCAUCUGCUAUGGGGCAAAAAUGAAGGUUACAACUGGAGAAGUCCAGAAGGCAACUGAACAAGUAUUCCAAGCACUGGUGAACAGCAGACAUUUUAAACUUUUUGCCUUGACUUGGUAGCAGAUGCCAUGGUGAUUAUUCACCACACCAGGAUACAGUCCUCAGCCUUCUCUGCCAGAGCAUUCUACAAAAUCCCCUUACAAAGACUUACUGUCCAGUUUGCUCAAGAAAGCCUGCCAGGCUACUUCUCUGAAGAUACAGUCCUAAGCCUUCUCUGCCAGAGCAUUCUAAACAAACAUGUAGAGUAUUACGUCCCUGAUCAUAUAGGCCCUAAUAUUUGUAAUGUGUGAAAUGGGAUCUGCUCAAUUUCUGACUAGCUGUUUCUGUUUUUUGGUUCUCAGAAAAUCACAAUGAUAAGAAGGAUGAAGAUAGACAGGAGCCACUGGCACCCAGGUAACUGAAGGACAAAAGGGCUGAUAAUGGAAUGGUGAAGUAUAGGGAAGAUUCCAGAAGCAAGUGACCAAGAGGCCAAAGUCCCAGAUCUGGGGGAAAAAAACCGAACCCACUAAUUGUACCUAUUUCAUUCAUUAAUCAUAUAGUGAUGUGUCCUUUUAUUUUUUUUAAUUUAUUUUUAAUGUUUAUUUAUUUUUGAGAGAGAGAGAGAGAGAGAGAGUGCAAGCAGUGGAGGGGCAGAGAGAGAGGGAGACACAGAAUCCAAAGCAGGCUCCAGACUCUGAGCUGUCAGCACAGAGCCAGACAUGAGGCUCGGGCUGACACACCGUGAGAUCAUGACCUGAGCUGAAAUCAGACGCUUAACCAACUGAGCCACUCAGGUGCCCCAAUGAUGUGCCCUUUUAAACAAUGUUGUCUGUUCAUGGUAAGUUCUUGUAUUGGUUACCAUUUCUUAGUAGUUCAUCAAGUUUAGUUAGCUAAAGUCAGUCUGACAUAAAGAUAAACUAGCCAGAGAUCCCUGGUGUCUGUGUUCUAAAAAUGUGUAUGGUAAAAAAAAAAAAAAAUCAAAGUGAGACAUUGUCUCAGGAGCCAGCAUUCAGUGGACAACUUCCUACGAUAGAUAGUAAACAAAAUUUGUCCGCAGGAUUUUAAAACCAAUAUUCUAGGUCUCUGUGUGUCACAAGUGCCUUUUAGAAUAGUUGAGUCUACUUCCUCAUCCACAUGUUAUGAGGUCAGUACACUGAGCACCUGCUGCCCCCUUCUAUCCCAGUUCUAGGCUCAUGAACCCAUCAAAGUGGAUUGCUAUGCUUUCUCUCUCAUCCAGAUGGCCUCUUUGCUUUCUGGUGUGGCUUCCAGGAGCUUCAGACGGGACCAGCUGCGAAGCUGUGGUUCCAGGUUGCCGCAGUUUAAUCUCCUGUCUUACCUCCCUGCCAUCCUCCCCAGGCUCAGCAGGGGGCUCCAGGAGGAAGAAGUGAAUGAAGCCCUGGAAGCCUCACUAGAUGAACAGUAUUUGACUCAUUCCAGUCGCCAUGACUCUCACCAGCUUCCCCGCAGCAGUUCCUUCCUGCUUGACAUGCAGGAAGCCAGCUCUGCUGUGGAAGUCACCAGUGAGUACUUCCAUUAUAAAGAGAAUAAAGGAACACAAGACUGGAGAAUAAAGCUCCAAUAGUUUCUACAUGCUUACCACCUUGGUUUAGGCUGAGUGAGACCAUCUAGUAGGCAGGCCCUAAAGAUUAACCUUGAAAAAGCUAUCAGGCUGGACGUGCAGCUCGGACCAAGUUUCAAAUACAGGUCCUUGGUGGGUCAGGUAAUUUGUUGCAUUGUUCGUGGUCCACACCUCAUCUCAGUCACUCUGUCCCCCACUGGCAUCUGCAAGCUAAUGGAGUCUAGGCAAGCCAGAUUGGAGAAUGGAGAGAUGAUGGUGGACUGUGUGCCACUAUUUCAGCAUGUGCACAGAAUCUAACAGACCUCCUCUAAGACGAAGCAACUUACCUUUCUGGGAAUGUUCUUGCUGAUUAUAGUUCCUGAAGAGUGUCCCUUAAGCUUUUCUAGCUGAGAAAUACUGGCAGUGCUGCCCAUAUUUUUGGAGGUGCGGUUAUCAUGAUUGCAGUCCCCAUCUCCCCUCAGAUGGCUUGCUUCCUCAUAAGGUUCCAUCUUAGUACCAGAGCAUCAAGUGGUUUCCCUAAAGACAAGGCUCAGCUCUUGGCAACCCUUGGGUAAGUGACCAGGGUUCCCGUCCUAUGUGUAGCACCAUUUUUAAAUAAUGUCUGUGGGUUUAGUCUCAGUACUGUAAUCUAAUCUAAAACCAACAGCCAGCCUAUCUACUGAAGAAAAGGCUGGGUCUAGCAGCCAUGCCACAAGCAUGCCCCUUUCCUAAAAAAGCCCCACCUAGCCAGUGUAGCUCCUCCAGGCAUGUAAGAGCCCCUCGGGAUAGCGGCCUCACGGGUGUGUGUAGAUUAAAGCCUCAACCUUCAUUUCCUUCCCCCCCCCCUUUUUUUUUUGACUAUUUGACUUUCCUUUGGGGAUAAAAGUUUGGAUUAUUAGAGAACUAUAUGUCUUAUGUCUUCUUGUAGGCAUGAGAAAGAGACUAUAUUAAUUCACUCACUGUUAACUGAGUUUUUUAAUAGUGAUAUAAGCCAUGUCAGGCUUUGUCUUUUUGCCAGUGGUGGGUGUCUUUUCUUACUCAGGCAAUCCCCUUACAAAGGCUUCCUCAUUCCCAUUUCACUUUGAGAUGUAGUGGGAGGUUGUCCUCUAUAAAUGACGUUCAGACACAAAUCAUGUGGGAGAGAUAUUUAGUAGAGACAUUCCUUAGUACCCAAAAGUCUUAUAUAAGAGGGGCCACACCUUUCCCAGUACUAGAUAAGCCCUACUCUGAAGGCUGAUUCCAUAUUUUACCACCUUAUAUCAACCUCCUUUAUACUUCCCAUAUCCUUGUAUGGGAGGUGGCCCUGUGAAGUUUGCUUAGCACUGGGUCAUGCUUUGUUUGAAGGCCUGCAGGCUCCUACAGGAGGUUCCCAGGUAUUUCCUGAUGAAAGCGGAAGUUGGCAGAAGAAUGGUGCAAGGCAGGGAUCUUGCUGAGAGGCCCUUGGCCACCCCAUUAGUGAUAAGGAUUCUCCAUCUUCUACCUCAUUCCCUGUCCUGGUGGAAUGGCUGCAGAAGAUGAGAUCCAGAACCUGUACCAGCACCUGAGGGAAAUUCUUUUCAUCAAUGCCUGCCUUCAAGAAAAGCUGGAACAUCAUCUCAGCAUUUCUGACCAAGGAAACGGUAGGGGAGGCCCAAGUCUGUCUGCUUCUGGCAAUAUGUAUCUUUCUAAGGACUUGUAAUGUGUUGCAGGGCUUCACAGGUUUCAAGAACUUGACGUGCUUUAUACUUCACUUAUUCUUACAAAUGGCCCAACUAGGGAGAAUAGGGCAGGUAUUAACAUUCCUACUUUUUAGAUGAGUAAAUAGGCUCAGAUAGAGGUUUGCCCCAAGACUGAGCUGUCCCUCCAUCUUAAGAGUUAUCUGACCUCCAAAAGCCUUCUUGUGACUCCUAAGCUGUACACUUUCUGCUGCUCUUCUCCUCUUAUGCAGUCAUUCAGUAGAACCCAGGUUGCUGAGCACCUCAUUCAGCAGAGUGAGGGUCUCUGCUGCUGUCAUCCUUACCCCCCUCCCUAAUGUCUUGGUUACUCUUCAUUGUUCUCAAGGUUGUUCUUCUCCACACAUCUUCCUCUUACAUUGCACUCACGCAGAGGCCAUCAUUUCCCAGUCUCAGGCUGGGCCAGAACAGUGACUGGGCCUCUUUCCAUAUCAAAGGAGCAACUAUUUAAUGAGAAAAGUCUCCUUCAUAAUUUCAGCCAUUGGGUGUGAUAAUACAAAGGAAUGAGCUGGCAUUUGUUCAGGGCCUGGUGAAAAUUAAGCAUCUGCCCCAUAAUGCUGAAGUUCCAACCUUUGAGUCCCCAGAGGUUUCUCCUGGGCUGAGACAGAAGGGGAAAAGGAAUUGCAGAAAGCAUUAUCUUAAGCAAAUGUGUGGAACUUGCCUAAACUGCUAAUUAUUUCCUGCAAUAGGAUAUACUUCUGACUUCUACAGGGAGAGCUUGGACUCCCUUGCCCAGCUGUACAAUGAAAACAGAGAUAUCAGGAAAGAAAGUCUGAGCCUUCUGGCUCACCUGAAUCGUAUUUCCAGAGGUAA